GGUUUUCGGGUGUAAAGUCGACGCCUUUGCCGAUUUCUUUGUCGAAGGAGGCUCGACAAUUGAAACGGCAGUCAAUCUGAUGGUUUGAGCCAGUACUGGACUGAGAAAGAAGAGCAGUGACUUUUACUUUGAAGUGUUCCGAUGCAGAGGGGGAGAUGUUAACACGGGAAGAGGUCAAUGGUGAUGUUAGGCAUGGAAGAUGUCUUGCCAUGGAAUGGUCAUGGGACAGCUGUUGUCUGUUUUUUGAGUUUGUGUCCCUAUUGGUUUACAAAGAACAAGCUGGGUUUACAUGAGAUGCAAUUCCAUCAUUUAACUAAGUAGUUUGCAGGAGGAAGACAAGCACCAGCUAACUUGCAAAUAUAUGUAGUAUGUGCAAAGAAUGUGCAGACAUAGGUGGUUAUGCGUUGGGACUUGCUUUUCCUUAUCUGUGUUUAUAAUUUGUGAAAUCACUGAUGGACUUUAUAAGUAGAAGAUGAAAAUACAAGUGACUCCUUUCAUACUGGGAAGGCAAACGAUGGAAAUGUGGGGCAUUGAUCGUUGGAGGGUUCAGGAUGUUGUUAUCUUAACUACUUGAUGAGAGGGCAAACCAGUUGGUGAAUAAAUGUCAAGAAUCACUCAUGAAGUGUCAGGGGAGUUGAUGGACAAGGGGUAAAUUGUGGCAUUUGUCUUGACUUUUUUUGGCAUUAGAAAUCGUAAAAGAUACACACGUUCGUUGGUCUAAAAUUCAUUUAGAAGGUGCUAAUUUGAUAAUAGGAUGUCAUCUUUUUCUGUUUUUCUGUUGGAACAAGCAGUCAGCGUUUUGAGAAACCCUUCCCUUCUUGGCAAGCAGAUUUAAUAGGAACAUACUCUUCAUUCUUCCUAUGAAAAGAGGGAUCUGUUUUCUCCCUUUCGUUUUCUU